rnacentral:lncRNA from 1 species
CUUCAUUGGAACAUUUGCAUUGUGUUCCUGGGCUAUUCAGGGGAGGGUAGAGGAGGCCUGCUACUCAUGGUGAAGGCAGCUAGCUCUAAACCUCCCUUAGUGAGGGAUGACCUGUGUGUAUGGAUUCAACAUGAAAGACUGAGGAGAUCCGUUAUCAAAAUGUACCAAAGAGUUGUACUGGGACGUGUGCCAGGCACUUGUGAUACAGCCAAUAGAGAGCAGACCAGUUGGAAUCAGACAGCUGUUGCAAAGAUGCCAGGACUGCAUUAGUCCCUCUGCUUCUUGGUCCCACUCUAAGAAUACUAGAAGACAGAGCUGAAGACAGGAUGGUGCUGAACACGCAAUCGUGCACACAGCCUGGAAUCUUCUCUCAAGGAACUGUUUGAAGGCUACUGAGCUGAACAAAGACUCGGAGCAAUUCAACAAGUCUGAGGCAUUCUGCUAAGAGCUGACAAAGAGCUUACUGACAAAUAAGACCUGGUUCCUAUGUUUUCACAAAAUUGUUAAGAAAACAAAACACAGUAAGUGAGCAUUAAGUAUUGAGACUGUUUAUACAAAGUAACGCAGAGGAAAUUAUAGAUUGGGGUUGCUUCUAAACAGCAUUCUGCAAGUGAUUAUAAACACAAGGACGGAGCAAUGUGAAAAGAUUCUUCGAUUGUUUUCAUCCCAGUGGAGAAUGAAUCUUAGUAAACCUCAGCAUCUCAGCAUCUCAUUUCCAUAGUAACCAAACAGCCUAGGGAAGUGGUAGCAUUAAUACUUAUCAGGGAAAUUACAAUAAUGAUAGCAUAGGCUGAGAUGGACUAUAAU